rnacentral:rRNA from 1 species
UCUCUAGUGACCGAUAGUGAACAAGUACCGUGAGGGAAAGGUGAAAAGUACCCCGACAAGGGGAGUGAAAUAGUAUCUGAAACCAAAUGCUUACAAGCAGUCGGAGCAAGCAUUUAUGUCUUGUGACGGCGUACCUUUUGUAUAAUGGGUCAGCGACUUAGUUUAUCUAGCAAGCUUAAGCCGUUAGGUGUAGGCGUAGCGAAAGCGAGUCUGAAUAGGGCGACUAUAGUUAGAUGAAUUAGACCCGAAACCGAGUGAUCUAGCCAUGGCCAGGUUGAAAGCGGAGUAAAAUCCGCUGAAGGACCGAACCCACUACUGUUGAAAAAGUAGGGGAUGAGCUGUGGUUAGGGGUGAAAGGCCAAUCAAACUCGGAUAUAGCUGGUUCUCCGCGAAAUCUAUUUAGGUAGAGCGUUAUAGCGGUUACCAUCGGAGGUAGAGCACUGAAUGAGCUAGGGGGUCCCACAGACUUACCAAACUCAAUCAAACUCCGAAUGCCGAUGAGUAUAGCAUAGCAGACAGACUAUGGGUGCUAAGGUCCAUAGUCGAGAGGGAAAAAGCCCAGACCGCCAUCUAAGGUCCCUAAAUCAUGACUAAGUGUUAAAGGAUGUGAGAAGACCAAAACAACUAGGAUGUUGGCUUAGAAGCAGCCAUCAUUUAAAGAAAGCGUAAUAGCUCACUAGUCUAAAUAAGUUUUCUUGCGCCAACAAUGUAACGGGGCUCAAGUCAUGUACCGAAGAUGCGGAUUCACACAUUUGGUGUGAGUGGUAGCGGAGCGUUCCGUAAGCCUGUGAAGGUGAACCGUAAGGUUUGCUGGAGGUAUCGGAAGUGAGAAUGCUGACAUAAGUAGCGAUAAAGAAUGCGAGAAACAUUCUCGCCGAAAGUCCAAGGGUUCUUGCGUAAAGUUAAUCUGCGCAAGGUUAGUCGGCCCCUAAGGUGAGGCUGAAAGGCGUAAUCGAUGGGAAUCAGGUUAAUAUUCCUGAACCUGAAGGAUGUGACGAAAGUAGUAAGUUGUACAGUCUUAUUGGAUUGAUUGUGCAGCGAAUAUUUUCCAGGAAAUAACACCUUCAUUAUAGACCGUACCCGAAACCGACACAGGUGGACAGGUAGAGUAUACCAAGGCGCUUGAGAGAACGAUGCUGAAGGAACUAGGCAAAUUGCAUCUGUAACUUUGGAAGAAAGAUGACCUACAUAUGGGCAACCAUUUGUGGGUGGCACAAGCUAGGGGGUAGCGACUGUUUAUUAAAAACACAGGGCUCUGCAAAGUCAAUAGACGAAGUAUAGGGUCUGACGCCUGCCCAGUGCUGGAAGAUUAAGAGGAGGGGUGCAAGCUCUGAAUUGAAGUCCCAGUGAACGGCGGCCGUAACUAUGACGGUCCUAAGGUAGCGAAAUUCCUUGUCGGGUAAGUUCCGACCCGCACGAAUGGCGUAACGAUUUCCCCGCUGUCUCCAGUAUCGACUCAGCGAAAUUGAAUUCUCCGUGAAGAUGCGGAGUUCCCGCGGUCAGACGGAAAGACCCCGUGAACCUUUACUAUAGCUUUGCACUGGUGUUAGGAAUCAAAUGUGCAGGAUAGGUGGGAGACUAUGAAGCAGAGGCGUCAGCCUUUGUGGAGUCACCCUUGAGAUACCACCCUUUUGGUUCUUGACAUCUAACCGAGAUCCUUGAAUCAGGAUCCGAGACAAUGCAUGGUGGGUAGUUUGACUGGGGCGGUCGCCUCCCAAAGAGUAACGGAGGCGCGCGAUGGUUAGCUCAGGUUGGUCGGAAAUCAACUUUUAGAGUGCAAUGGCAUAAGCUAGCCUGACUGCGAGUCUGACAAGACGAGCA